rnacentral:rRNA from 1 species
AUGGCUCAGGAUGAACGCUGGCGGCGUGCUUAACACAUGCAAGUCGAACGAUGAUCCGGUGCUUGCACCGGGGAUUAGUGGCGAACGGGUGAGUAACACGUGAGUAACCUGCCCUUAACUCUGGGAUAAGCCUGGGAAACUGGGUCUAAUACCGGAUAUGACUCCUCAUCGCAUGGUGGGGGGUGGAAAGCUUUUUGUGGUUUUGGAUGGACUCGCGGCCUAUCAGCUUGUUGGUGAGGUAAUGGCUUACCAAGGCGACGACGGGUAGCCGGCCUGAGAGGGUGACCGGCCACACUGGGACUGAGACACGGCCCAGACUCCUACGGGAGGCAGCAGUGGGGAAUAUUGCACAAUGGGCGCAAGCCUGAUGCAGCGACGCCGCGUGAGGGAUGACGGCCUUCGGGUUGUAAACCUCUUUCAGUAGGGAAGAAGCGAAAGUGACGGUACCUGCAGAAGAAGCGCCGGCUAACUACGUGCCAGCAGCCGCGGUAAUACGUAGGGCGCAAGCGUUAUCCGGAAUUAUUGGGCGUAAAGAGCUCGUAGGCGGUUUGUCGCGUCUGCCGUGAAAGUCCGGGGCUCAACUCCGGAUCUGCGGUGGGUACGGGCAGACUAGAGUGAUGUAGGGGAGACUGGAAUUCCUGGUGUAGCGGUGAAAUGCGCAGAUAUCAGGAGGAACACCGAUGGCGAAGGCAGGUCUCUGGGCAUUAACUGAC